rnacentral:tRNA from 1 species
GGGGUUGUGGCUCAAUGGUAGAGCACUUGCCUAGCAUGUGUGAGGCCCUGGGUUCGAUUCUCAGCAUCACAU